GAUGAAGAACGUAGCGAAAUGCGAUAACUAAUGUGAAUUGCAGAAUUCCGUGAAUCAUCGAAUCUUUGAACGCACAUUGCGCCCGCCAGUAUUCUGGCGAGCAUGCCUGUUCGAGCGUCAUUUCAACCAUCAAGCCCCAGGCUUGUGUUGGAGCCCUGCGGCUGCCGCAGCCUCCCAAAACCAGUGGCGGGCUCGCUAUCACACCGAGUGCAGUAGUUUACUCUUCGCUCAGGGCGUGUGGCGGGUGCUAGCCGUGAAACCCCCAACUUCUCAAGGUUGACCUCGGAUCAGGUAGGAAUACCCGCUGAACUUAAGCAUAUCAAUAAGCGGAGGA
rnacentral:misc_RNA from 1 species